rnacentral:rRNA from 1 species
CGGAGGGUGCGAGCGUUGUCCGGAAUCACUGGGCGUAAAGGGCGCGUAGGCGGCGUGAGGAGUCAACGGUGAAAGCUCGGGGCUCAACCCCGAGUCGGCCGUCGAUACUCUCGUGCUGGAGCACUGUAGAGGCAGGUGGAAUUCCGGGUGUAGCGGUGGAAUGCGUAGAGAUCCGGAAGAACACCGGUGGCGAAGGCGGCCUGCUGGGCAGUAGCUGACGCUGAGGCGCGACAGCGUGGGGAGCAAACAGGAUUAGAUACCCUGGUAGUCCACGCCGUAAACGAUGGGCACUAGGUGCUUGGGGGAGCGACCCUCUGAGUGCCGGCGCUAACGCAUUAAGUGCCCCGCCUGGGGAGUACGGCCGCAAGGCUG